AAUAGUCACAUUUAAAACUGUACCAAUGUCAAAUUGAAAAGAAGACAUUGGUUCUAGUUUUUAUCUUUAAUUUUUCUAUAUAUUGUUGACAUUUGAAAAAGAAUGAUGUUACACUAACAACAACAUGUUAAUUACCAUAAUCUAGUACUGACACUUAUAAAGAAGGGUAGUCACUGACUAGUAGCAGAGUGCAAUAUAUGACUAAAACCAAAGCUUACUCUAUACAUCAGCAUUAGAAUUCAUUAAAAAUAUCAAAGACAUACAACAAUUAUGAUAUCACCUUCCCUAUAAUUCAUUAGUUCUAACAUCAUAACCAUGAAAAUCCCACUUAGAGGCCUUUUUUCUAUGUCUUUGCUACAUGUUGAAGUUCCUCACCUAUGUCUUUG
rnacentral:misc_RNA from 1 species